rnacentral:rRNA from 1 species
GAUGAACGCUGGCGGCGUGCCUAAUACAUGCAAGUCGAGCGAACAGACGAGGAGCUUGCUCCUCUGACGUUAGCGGCGGACGGGUGAGUAACACGUGGAUAACCUACCUAUAAGACUGGGAUAACUUCGGGAAACCGGAGCUAAUACCGGAUAAUAUAUUGAACCGCAUGGUUCAAUAGUGAAAGACGGUUUUGCUGUCACUUAUAGAUGGAUCCGCGCCGCAUUAGCUAGUUGGUAAGGUAACGGCUUACCAAGGCAACGAUGCGUAGCCGACGUGAGAGGGUGAUCGGCCACACUGGAACUGAGACACGGUCCAGACUCCUACGGGAGGCAGCAGUAGGGAAUCUGCCGCAAUGGGCGAAAGCCUGACGGAGCAACGCCGCGUGAGUGAUGAAGGUCUUCGGAUCGUAAAACUCUGUUAUUAGGGAAGAACAAAUGUGUAAGUAACUAUGCACGUCUUGGCGGUACCUAAUCAGAAAGCCACGGCUAACUACGUG